UCGCAAAUAAAUUUAUCUGAGCUAGUCGUUUUGACCUUGAACUCUUGCAACUCAUAAACUUAAUCAUGAAAUGCAAAUGAACGCCCUAUUCUGAAUAUCAAUUGACAGUUUACAAUGAAAUAUUUCUUUGUAAUCUCCAAGUGCUUGAAAUGCGAGACAAAACGGUACUCGUCUGUACUUUUUCGUGGUAAUGGAGGUGGUAAAUCGCUUGUGGUUUUAACUAAUAACAUCGAAUUCAGAAGUCAUAUAACUUAGGUUACAUUUUGACCAAAUGUUUACAGAUUAACACCGUCAGUGGCGUCUCUCAGUCGGGUAUUUCGUCAGAAAUGGUAGCGCAUACAAACUGAUGUAAACUUUAAAUUUCACAAUGGUAAGUCAUCGUCCUACACAUGUUCUAAUUAGCCAAAAUGAGUAUGCUCAACUGAUGAUUUAUACAACCUGAUGAAACUCAUUCAAUCAUACAAAAGUUUAGCAAACCAAUUAUCAAAUAUUCCUUAAACUGUUGGAUGUGUACACAUUACACACGACAGACUACAGGUGACCGUUUUGUGCUAAUUGAUAUCAGAACUAUAACGUGUCUAGUUCGUAGUUAUGAGUAACGAACCAAGAACGGCUUGUAGGGUGCCAUAUUUUUCACACCCUCCGGAAUAAUAGACAGAUGCCUUGCAACUUCUUAGAACUAAAAUUAUCGUGCUAGGGAUCACGUAUAAAUGCGAUUGCUAAUCAUCUCUCAGGGCUCAGAUCCAUCGCAUCGAUCAAGUGCGCAUUUUAAGUCGGACGUCAAUCCAACGUGAUAAACAAGUGUGACUAAAGUGCUAAAGAAAAUCCUACGUGCGAUAUCCAUAUCAAAAACAAUGUUUCUUGUGAAAGUUUUGAUUUCGUUUUUUCCACUAGUAUUAGUUGGAGUCUACGGUGUCCCGCUCCAACGGGAGUUGUUGGACACAUCGUCAGAAGGCACAUCCUCAGAUGCUGCUCCAACAUAUGUGGUGAAUUUCGACUCGGUAGAAGCGACAACCGAUCAAUACUUGUUAUAUGAGCUGCCCAUAGUGAAAAGAAGUAUUAUUGCUACAUUGGAAAAGCAAAAAACUGCAGUCGUAGAUUCAGAUUCUUCAUCGGUUGAGCAAAAUGAUAUGGAAGUGGCAGAGACGCAUCUCUUCCGGCCAGUGUUUCGUUACAAGUCCCAGUACGCAGAGCGAAGACGUAUCAGACAAAUUCCUCCGCAAUUUUCACUAGUUGUGCAACAGUGAGUGUAGGUAUUAUCAUGCUGAUUUAAUCUAUCCUAAGUACGUUUGUGAACGAUUUAUCAGAUCUCAUUGAAUAAGAUAAGUGAAACGAGUGAUUCUGUGAAUGCUAUUUGUUGAGUAAUAAAUAAGUCGAAAAUAUUCAAAAUAAAAUUUGUGUUUGAAAUGCCCAA